rnacentral:tRNA from 1 species
GCAGUGGUGGUUCAGGGUAGAAGUCUCGCCUCUCAUGCCGGAGACCCGGGUUUGAUUCCCAGACACUGCU